rnacentral:rRNA from 1 species
UACAGAGGUCCCAAGCGUUGUUCGGAUUCAUUGGGCGUAAAGGGUGCGUAGGCGGCUUGUCACGUCGGGUGUGAAAGACCGGGGCUUAACUCCGGUUCUGCAUUCGAUACGGGCUAGCUAGAGUGUGGUAGGGGAGAUCGGAAUUCCUGGUGUAGCGGUGAAAUGCGCAGAUAUCAGGAGGAACACCGGUGGCGAAGGCGGAUCUCUGGGCCAUUACUGACGCUGAGGAGCGAAAGCGUGGGGAGCGAACAGG